AUGGCUCGCCGGCUCGGUCCGAAGAUGGAUGCUAUUAUUUCUCGCUGCCAAAGUGCCUUCAUCAAAACAAGAACCAUACAUGACAACUUUAUGUAUGUCAGAAACACCGCUCGCAGUCUCCAUCGCAGCAAAACUCCGGCUGUCCUCAUAAAGCUGGACAUUGCCAAA
rnacentral:rRNA from 1 species